GGACGGAUAGCUCAGGGGUAGAGCAACCGGCUGCAGUCCGGUAGGUCGCGCGUUCAAAUCGCGCUUCGUCCU
rfam:Myceliophthora thermophila ATCC 42464 chromosome 7, complete sequence.